rnacentral:rRNA from 1 species
UACGUAGGCAGCGAGCGUUGUUCGGAAUUACUGGGCGUAAAGAGUGUGUAGGCGGUGCUCUAAGUUCGGUGUGAAAUCUCCCGGCUUAACUGGGGAGAGUCGUCGGGGACCGCACCGCUUGAGGGCGGUAGGGGCUGGUGGAAUGCCUGGUGUAGUGGUGAAAUGCGUAGAGAUCAGGCAGAACACCUGGGGCGAAGGCGGCCAGCUGGGCCGUCCCUGACGCUGAGGCGCGAAGGCGUGGGGAGCGAACAGG